rnacentral:misc_RNA from 1 species
AAGUCGUAACAAGGUUUCCGUAGGUGAACCUGCGGAAGGAUCAUUAACACUUUAUCCUUUAUACAAACAACCGUGAACUUGUACCUCUACCUGCUGGUAGCGAACUGUCUUAAGUCAAUGUAUGGUGAAGGUCGAAAGACCUAUUGACAAAAGACUAGAGAUCUCGAGUCUCAAGGUUCCUAUCAGGAGGCAUCUUUCUGCUAUCACCAUGGUGGGCCAAUAUUAACCCCAUUAAACUAACUUGUGCUAAAUCUGUUGCUACUGGCUAGAAAUAGCUUGGGCGACUACUUAUUAAACCUAAGAACAACUCUUAACAAUGGAUAUCUUGGGUCCC